AUUGAACGCUGGCGGCAGGCUUCACACAUGCAAGUCGAGCGAGCGGCGGACGGGUGAGUAAUGUAUGGGAAACUGCCUGAUGGAGGGGGAUAACUACUGGAAACGGUGGCUAAUACCGCAUACCAUCAGAUGUGCCGCGAUGGGCUUAGCGAGUAGGGGGGGUAAUGGCUCACCGAGGCGACGAUCCCUAGCUGGUCUGAGAGGAUGACCAGCCACACGGGAACUGAGACACGGCCCAGACUCCUCCGUGAGGCAGCAGUGGGGAAUAUUGCACAAUGGGCGCAAGCCUGAUGCAGCCAUGCCGCGUGUGUGAAGAAGGCCUUCGGGUUGUAAAGCACUUUAAGCGAGGAGGCGGUACUCGCAGAAGAAGCACCGGCUAACUCCGUGCCAGCAGCCGCGGUAAUAC
rnacentral:rRNA from 1 species